rnacentral:rRNA from 1 species
GGUGAGUAAUGCAUCGGAACGUGCCCAGUAGUGGGGGAUAACUGCUCGAAAGAGCAGCUAAUACCGCAUACGACCUGAGGGUGAAAGCGGGGGACCGUAAGGCCUCGCGCUAUUGGAGCGGCCGAUGUCAGAUUAGGUAGUUGGUGGGGUAAAGGCCCACCAAGCCAACGAUCUGUAGCUGGUCUGAGAGGACGACCAGCCACAGUGGGACUGAGACACGGCCCAGACUCCUACGGGAGGCAGCAGUGGGGAAUUUUGGACAAUGGGCGCAAGCCUGAUCCAGCAAUGCCGCGUGCAGGAAGAAGGCCUUCGGGUUGUAAACUGCUUUUGUCAGGGAAGAAAUCUUCUGGGCUAAUACCCUGGGAGGAUGACGGUACCUGAAGAAUAAGCACCGGCUAACUACGUGCCAGCAGCCGCGGUAAUACGUAGGGUGCGAGCGUUAAUCGGAAUUACUGGGCGUAAAGCGUGCGCAGGCGGUUAUGCAAGACAGAGGUGAAAUCCCCGGGCUCAACCUGGGAACUGCCUUUGUGACUGCAUGACUAGAGUACGGC